rnacentral:rRNA from 1 species
UGGUGGGCGUUCUGCGGAGGUAGGGGGUGGGAGAGGUAGACGGUACUCGGGAGGAAGUGGUGAAAUGGUUUGAUCUCUCGAUGACCACCUGUGGCGAAGGCGGUCUACCAGAACACGUCCGACGGUGAGGGAUGAAAGCUGGGGGAGCAAACCGGAUUAGAUACCCGGGUAGUCCCAGCUGUAAACUAUGCAAACUCAGUGAUGCAUUGGCUUGUGGCCAAUGCAGUAUUGCAGGGAAGCCGUUAAGUUUGCCGCCUGGGAAGUACGUACGCAAGUAUGAAACUUAAAGGAAUUGGCGGGGGAGCACCACAAGGGGUGAAGCCUGCGGUUCAAUUGGAGUCAACGCCAGAAAUCUUACCCGGAGAGACAGCAGAAUGAAGGUCAAGCUGAAGACUUUACCAGACAAGCUGAGAGGUGGUGCAUGGCCGUCGCCAGCUCGUGCCGUGAGAUGUCCUGUUAAGUCAGGUAACGAGCGAGAUCCCUGCCUCUAGUUGCCACCAUUACUCUCAGGAGUAGUGGGGCGAAUUAGCGGGACCGCCGCAGUUAAUGCGGAGGAAGGAAGGGGCC